AUUGAACGCUGGCGGCAUGCCUUACACAUGCAAGUCGAACGGCAGCAUGAUCUAGCUUGCUCGAUUGAUGGCGAGUGGCGAACGGGUGAGUAAUACAUCGGAACGUGCCCUGUAGUGGGGGAUAACUAGUCGAAAGAUUAGCUAAUACCGCAUACGACCUGAGGGUGAAAGUGGGGGACCGCAAGGCCUCAUGCUAUAGGAGCGGCCGAUGUCUGAUUAGCUAGUUGGUGAGGUAAAGGCUCACCAAGGCGACGAUCAGUAGCUGGUCUGAGAGGGCGAUCAGCCACACUGGGACUGAGACACGGCCCAGACUCCUACGGGAGGCAGCAGUGGGGAAUUUUGGACAAUGGGCGAAAGCCUGAUCCAGCAAUGCCGCGUGUGUGAAGAAGGCCUUCGGGUUGUAAAGCACUUUUGUCCGGAAAGAAAUGGCUCUGGUUAAUACCUGGGGUCGAUGACGGUACCGGAAGAAUAAGGACCGGCUAACUACGUG
rnacentral:rRNA from 1 species